rnacentral:rRNA from 1 species
CCUACGGGAGGCAGCAGUAAGGAAUAUUGGUCAAUGGACGAAAGUCUGAACCAGCCAUGCCGCGUGAAGGAUGAAGGCCCUCUGGGUUGUAAACUUCUUUUAUCUGGGACGAAAAAAGGGUAUUCUUACUCACUUGACGGUACCAGAGGAAUAAGCACCGGCUAACUCCGUGCCAGCAGCCGCGGUAAU